UACAGAGGUGGCAAGCGUUGUUCGGAAUUACUGGGCGUAAAGGGCGCGUAGGCGGCCUUCUAAGUCAGACGUGAAAUCCCCCGGCUUAACCUGGGAACUGCGUCUGAUACUGGGAGGCUUGAGUAUGGGAGAGGGAUGCGGAAUUCCAGGUGUAGCGGUGAAAUGCGUAGAUAUCUGGAGGAACACCGGUGGCGAAGGCGGCAUCCUGGACCGGCAUUGACGCUGAGGCGCGAAAGCCAGGGGAGCAAACGGG
rnacentral:rRNA from 1 species